rnacentral:rRNA from 1 species
GAGUUUGAUCUUGGCUCAGAUUUGAACGCUGGCGGCAUGCCUUACACAUGCAAGUCGAACGGCAGCACGGGAGCUUGCUCCUGGUGGCGAGUGGCGAACGGGUGAGUAAUGCAUCGGAACGUAUCCUGGAGUGGGGGAUAACGUAGCGAAAGUUACGCUAAUACCGCAUAUUCUGUGAGCAGGAAAGCGGGGGACCUUCGGGCCUCGCGCUCUUGGAGCGGCCGAUGUCGGAUUAGCUAGUUGGUGAGGUAAAGGCUCACCAAGGCGACGAUCCGUAGCAGGUCUGAGAGGAUGAUCUGCCACACUGGAACUGAGACACGGUCCAGACUCCUACGGGAGGCAGCAGUGGGGAAUUUUGGACAAUGGGGGCAACCCUGAUCCAGCCAUGCCGCGUGAGUGAAGAAGGCCUCGGU